ACCUGCGGAAGGAUCAUUAGUGAAUAUAGGACGUCCAACUUAACUUGGAGUCCGAACUCUCACUUUCUAACCCUGUGCACUUGUUUGGGAUAGUAACUCUCGCAAGAGAGCGAACUCCUAUUCACUUAUAAACACAAAGUCUAUGAAUGUAUUAAAUUUUAUAACAAAAUAAAACUUUCAACAACGGAUCUCUUGGCUCUCGCAUCGAUGAAGAACGCAGCGAAAUGCGAUAAGUAAUGUGAAUUGCAGAAUUCAGUGAAUCAUCGAAUCUUUGAACGCACCUUGCGCUCCAUGGUAUUCCGUGGAGCAUGCCUGUUUGAGUGUCAUGAAUACUUCAACCCUCCUCUUUCUUAAUGAUUGAAGAGGUGUUUGGUUUCUGAGCGCUGCUGGCCUUUACGGUCUAGCUCGUUCGUAAUGCAUUAGCAUCCGCAAUCGAACUUCGGAUUGACUUGGCGUAAUAGACUAUUCGCUGAGGAAUUCUAGUCUUCGGAUUAGAGCCGGGUUGGGUUAAAGGAAGCUUCUAAUCAGAAUGUCUACAUUUUAAGAUUAGAUCUCAAAUCAGGUAGGACUACCCGCUGAACUUAAGCAUAUCAAUAAGCCGGAGGA
rnacentral:rRNA from 1 species